UAGAUAGUAGGCGGGGUAACGGCCCACCUAGUCUUCGAUGGAUAGGGGUUCUGAGAGGAAGGUCCCCCACAUUGGAACUGAGACACGGUCCAAACUCCUACGGGAGGCAGCAGUGAGGAAUAUUGGUCAAUGGACGAGAGUCUGAACCAGCCAAGUAGCGUGAAGGAUGAAGGUUCUAUGGAUUGUAAACUUCUUUUAUACGGGAAUAAACGGAUCCACGUGUGGAUUUUUGCAUGUACCGUAUGAAUAAGGAUCGGCUAACUCCGUGCCAGCAGCCGCGGUAAUACGGAGGAUCCGAGCGUUAUCCGGAUUUAUUGGGUUUAAAGGGAGCGUAGAUGGGUUGUUAAGUCAGUUGUGAAAGUUUGCGGCUCAACCGUAAAAUUGCAAUUGAUACUGGCAGUCUUGAGUACAGUUGAGGUAGGCGGAAUUCGUGGUGUAGCGGUGAAAUGCUUAGAUAUCACGAAGAACUCCGAUUGCGAAGGCAGCUUACUAACCUGUAACUGACAUUGAUGCUCGAAAGUGUGGGUAUCAAACAGGAUUAGAUACCCUGGUAGUCCACACGGUAAACGAUGAAUACUCGCUGUAGGCGAUAUACAGUCUGCGGCCAAGCGAAAGCAUUAAGUAUUCCACCUGGGGAGUACGCCGGCAACGGUGAAACUCAAAG
rnacentral:rRNA from 1 species